AAUCAGGUACUCCGACCCCAUAUACGCAACAGGCGGGACCCUCUCAGGGUCAACCUGUGUGGGACUACUUCCAGUAGCAACUGAGCUUCACAGUCGAGCCGGACUGGGUGCUCUCGAAACUUGAGUUCUUCAAUCAUGUAUCCUCAGCAUCCUAGAACGAGGGGUGGUUGUGUUCCAAG